rnacentral:piRNA from 1 species
UGGUAGACAUGGGUGCUCCCUGGAGCCGUCAC